UGGGGAAUAUUGCACAAUGGGGGGAACCCGUGAUGCAGCGACGCCGCGUGAGUGAAGAAGUAUUUCGGUAUGUAAAGCUCUAUCAGCAGGGAAGAAAAUGACGGUACCUGACUAAGAAGCCCCGGCUAACUACGUGCCAGCA
rnacentral:rRNA from 1 species